UAUCUCUGUAGAGUCUGCAUAUCAAUAAGCGAGGAAAAGAAACUAACUAAGGAUUCCCCUCAGUAACGGCGAGUGAAGCGGGAAGAGCUCAAAUUUGAAAUCUUCAAGGUUUACCUUGACGAAUUGUAGUUUAAAGAAGUGUUUUCUGUUGGAGUUUGGUAAAAGUUCUUUGGAAUAGGACAUCAUAGAGGGUGAGAAUCCCGUAUUUGACCAUUAUUUCCAGCUUUGUGAUACACUUUCAAAGAGUCGGAUUGUUUGGGAAUGCAGUCCAAAAUGGGUGGUAAAUUUCAUCUAAAGCUAAAUACUGGCGAGAGACCGAUAGCGAACAAGUACCGUGAGGGAAAGAUGAAAAGAACUUUGAAAAGAGAGUUAAACAGUACGUGAAAUUGUCAAAAGGGAAGCGUUUGACACCAGUGUUGUUUUCUCGAAAAUCAAUUAAAAAUGGUGGGAUUUUGUGUUGUAUUGACUUUAUCAGCUUUCUGCACUCUUCUCCUAUCUUUUUUAAUGCACCUUUCGUUUAACAAGUCAACAUCAAUUUCUUUUGUUGUAAAAGAGUCAUUGGAAGGUGGCUUUCUUUUCGGAGAAAGUGUUUAUAGCCUUUGGCUUCUGCAAUCGGAGAGAUUGAGGUCUGCAGCGUAGAUCCUUCGGGGUUAGAUACAUUUGUGCUAAGUUAUAGCCUUUCAUAGACAACUUGUUGACUAUGAUCAGUCAUGUAGCUUACUCGCUUAUGCUAUUUUACCUACGCUUAGGAUGUUGAGUCAUCACACAUCUCU
rnacentral:rRNA from 1 species